AAGUCGUAACAAGGUUUCCGUAGGUGAACCUGCGGAAGGAUCAUUUUUGGACACUUUUAAUAGACUUGGGGCUUUAUAGCUCUCGAGUAGUUGACUGAACUCGUCCUAUUUUACAUUGGGACUGAACACGGCAUUGUCUAACUUUAUGUUUAAUAAUAACAACUUUCAACAACGGAUCUCUAGGCUCUU
rnacentral:misc_RNA from 1 species